GUGUGGGCUCCGGACCUCACACCAGUGUGGCAGAUUCAACAAGCCCAGAAUAAGCCUCUUCCUUUGCUCACAAUAAGGUGAAGUCUAUUUUUCUACUCCUCUGAAUCUAGGCUGUUCUCUUAGUGUUUCUACUAAUAGAGUGUUCUAGAAGCUUCUGCGCUGAUGACUUAAAUGCUGGGUAAGGAUGCUAGUCUUACCUAUUAAAAAAUGCAAAGCCUUGUGAAGAACUGAGAUAAUUUAGUCAAUAACUGAUGUCAACUGUCCCUCCACACUGCUAAAGAAGGUCACUCCCAACAACCAUAGUCAUUAACAACAGGUGCAUUGAGCUGAGGAACCACCCAGUUGGUGCAUAAAACCAUUCACUCUAGGCUGCUUUAAAGUGUAGUCUGGGAACUGUCUCUUAUGCAGCAAACCCCAACAAAUAUAUUAAAGGCUAAGCCAGAUUUCUAACCCAGGUCUUCUACUAUUAGAAUCGGAAUCCCUCAAGAACAGAGUCUGUGUCUUCAGAGCUCAGUAGGGAACCUCCAGGAAACUAUACCAACAAAUGCCACAAAACUGGGUGGGCUGUCUGUGUGAAGAGAGGGGCUGUCCUAGCCUAGAUCUCUAGGGCACUGACCUACAUUUAUUUUAGAUUUAUUAUAGAAGCAACAACUUCUGCAUACCAGAGGUGAGAGAUGCAGCAAUCCUCUCCGUGCUCAUGAAGCUUAAAAUUUGGGGGAGAAAGUAGAGAAAAGUAAGCCACUAGCUUGGCUCCGCCUGCUGUCCACCCCAUUCCUCUGCUCUAGUAUCCCCACCGUCAUCUAAGCUGCCACCUUUUCUCUUUCAGAUUAAGCCAACUGCCUCUUCAUUCCUCAGUCACACUCCUCCUCUGACCCUGCUCCAGGAGGCUCAUCUUGUCAGACUUCACACUGAAUGAGCGCUGAGGAUGCUGUAGAGUAUGAGCUGUGUGCAGGUAAGAGGGGUAAAUGGCUUUCCUGUGCUUGCCAGGACACGGUCGCUCUAGACUGGGGUCACCUUGAGAGGUGAGCAUGUGGAGGAGAAAACGCUAAUUCCAAUCCAGGAUUUCGACCCUGCUU
rnacentral:lncRNA from 1 species